UACGUAGGGUGCGAGCGUUGUCCGGAAUUACUGGGCGCAAAGAGCUCGUAGGUGGUUUGUCGCGUUGUUCGUGAAAACUCACAGCUCAACUGUGGGCGUGCGGGCGAUACGGGCAGACUGGAGUACUGCAGGGGAGACUGGAAUUCCUGGUGUAGCGGUGGAAUGCGCAGAUAUCAGGAGGAACACCGGUGGCGAAGGCGGGUCUCUGGGCAGUAACUGACGCUGAGGAGCGAAAGCGUGGGGAGCGAACAGG
rnacentral:rRNA from 1 species